GUGGGCGUAGCUCAGCAGGUAGAGCUCCUGGUUGUGGUCCAGGCGGUCGCGGGUUCGAGUCCCGUCGCUCACC
rnacentral:tRNA from 1 species